rnacentral:lncRNA from 10 species
GGGAGGGCCAGGGAGACCCCUGCUCCCCCAAGUCAGAGCAACAGUGGGACACUUUGGGAGGAAGGGAAUGAAAGGAGUCCAACGCCAAGGUCCUGGGGGAUGCUUUCUGUGGUUUCGUGGCUGGCGCCGAAGUCAAGAACCUAGGGAAGGAGCCAACAUAAAAGAAAACCCUUGAUCCAUUUUCAAUGAAUGCCUGAAAUUCUACCAAUCCAGCAUCAUCCCUUCACCUGCAGGCUUUGAUUCCUUUUAAAAUGCAAAUGCCUCAAGGAAGGGGAACCCUUAAAACAAGGGCAGAUGGCAGGCUACAUCAAGAAAUCACCAACGUCACCAAAGAGACAUGAUUACGCCAUGAUGUGUACAUACUAUAUGGUAAUGGCGUUUAAUAAGCAGCGUUUAAUCUUUUUUUUAUUCCUGUUGUUGGUUGUCCAGGCAUCCUUUUGUACUCUGACAAGCAGUGUUUCUUCAGGAUGCCCCGCCCGCAGUGGCCAGACCCUCUAGUUCAGUUGCUCCAAGUUUUCUUACCCUUUGCAUCCUAAACCUUUCUCCAAUCAUUCUACUUCCCAUUCUCACAAUCCUGCUUGAUUGGAGGUUCACAGCAUCUUAUCGCUAGUCCCAAUCAUUGCAGUAGCCCAGUGGGAGUAUCUGGAUCCCUUCCAUAGCACACAGGGUCCUGGGGAAGUUCAAGAGAGUCUCUCAAGUCCUUUCUGUACAAUACGCAACACCACUGAAUCUGUCAAGAGGCGGCUGCCUUGUGCUGGUGGUGGGGUGGGGGGACUGUCUUCCCAAAGUCAGCAGAGAACCCCUGCUUUCGGCUUCCCAUCAUCUAUCUGGAAUUUCUCUCCUCUUGCCACUCCUCCAUCUGGCAGAAGCCAGAAGUAGGGGUGCUGGGUUUCUGAAGGACCCAGGCAGGGUCUUUCCCGCUUCUCCCCUUUGUCCUCUGAAUCCGUCUUUUUCCUGCUCAUAGGGUUUCUACUUAGCCAUACUGUCCGGUGGGAAUGCCUCCAACUCCAGAGCUUCCUCUUCUUUCAAGUGUCUCCUGCUGUAUCAGUUAUCUGUUGCUACAAAACGAGCCACCCAGUGGCUUACACUCAGUAGCUUAAAACAAUAAACAUUUAUUUGCUCAUGACUCUGUGGGUCGGCUGGGCGGUUCUUCUGGCUUGGCUCUGCUGGGCUCACUGUGUUUGUGGUGAGCUGGCAGGUCAUCGGAUGGUUUAAGAUGGCCUCCCUCACACAUCUGGUGGUUGGCAGGCUGUCAGCUGGGGUGAAAGGGUGACCCGGCCACGUGUCUCUCAUCUAGCAGGCUAGCCUACCCCAGGCUUCUUCCAAUGGCAGUAGGCUUCCACGGAUGGGAAGAGCAAAAGCUACAAGACUUCUUGAGCCCCAGGCUUGGAACGGACGCACCUUCCCUUCCACCGCAUUCUCUUCAUCAAAGUGCCUCAGCCUCGAACCUUGUGAUGAGUGAGAAAUCUUUCUCCCCUACGGAGAAAAGUUUCAAUGUGCACCUUGCCGAGAAUUUCAUCUUCUUUAUGUUGCCCAUGGCAUUUUCUGAGCAGCUUUCCUGGAGCUCUGUCUGCCAUCUUGCUUAUGAAAACCCCAAGUUGUGUAAUGGUUACCUGACAGAAUGGGAAUCCAGAUCUCCUUCAGGAUACAGCAGGAUGGAGGCCUGCAGAGAUGGCCUGAAAAUAAGUAGCUGGAUCCUAAAAGAGUGGAAAGGCA